CCUACGGGUGGCUGCAGUGGGGAAUAUUGGACAAUGGGCGCAAGCCUGAUCCAGCCAUGCCGCGUGUGUGAAGAAGGCCUUCGGGUUGUAAAGCACUUUCAGUGAGGAGGAAAGCCUUGCGGCUAAUAACCGCGAGGAAGGACAUCACUCACAGAAGAAGCACCGGCUAACUCCGUGCCAGCAGCCGCGGUAAUACGGAGGGUGCGAGCGUUAAUCGGAAUUACUGGGCGUAAAGCGCGCGUAGGCGGUCUGUUAAGCCGGUUGUGAAAGCCCCGGGCUCAACCUGGGAACGGCAUCCGGAACUGGCAGGCUAGAGUGUAGUAGAGGAGGGUAGAAUUCCCGGUGUAGCGGUGAAAUGCGUAGAGAUCGGGAGGAAUACCAGUGGCGAAGGCGGCCUCCUGGACAGACACUGACGCUCAGGUGCGAAAGCGUGGGUAGCAAACAGGAUUAGAUACCCUAGUAGUC
rnacentral:rRNA from 1 species